CAUACAUCCCUAUAUAAGUGUGUAUAAGUGUGUGUAUGUAUAUGUGUAUAUAUGACCAGAAUUUACAUAGAUAACACAUUCGCAUAUAGGUGUACGUCUCUGCAGACACACACGCAGACACAAUCACGCACACGCACGCGUGUGUGUGCAUGUGGACAGACAGACAACCCUGUAUAAUAGAUAGCACGCACACAUUUGAGUAAGCAUCUAUACCCAGAACGGGUCUCUCUGUUUUCCCUUUCAGAGCGGUACCUUCCUGGCCCAGGAGGGGAAAGGCAAGACACUGCCUAGGAUUCCUCCUGCUUGCCCCCGUGCCAAGCCCGGUUGGAGCGGCGCUCCCCUCGGCGGCGCGGUGCUCCUUCCCGCAUGCUCAGGCUUGCGGCUCCCGGCGCGCUCUCAGGGUGGGAGCCGGGGAAGGCUUCUUCGACUCCGGCCGCGGCUCCCCCGAGCUUCAUAUCCUAAAGCAGGCAACCAGCCCACGGGAAACUUCUCCUCCAGCCGUCGGGCCAUCAGGAGACCGGGACUUCGGUUAUUUAUAGGGACUGCUGAUCACAUUCACUCAAUAACCCUUGAAAAGCAGCAGGGAUUCAGCGAAAUAGCUCGGACGGUGCUGUGCUGGCGGAGGGGCUGGACGGCCGAGCAAGAAGGAAAGCCCCGAGGUAGCCCCAGGCAACCUGCAGCUCUCCGAGUAGCCGGCGCCGGGGAGGAAAGCUGGCCCGGACCUGGAGGGAUGGCGCUGGGCACGUGCAGACGCGGGGUGGGCGCUGCCCUGCCUGCCUGGUCGCAGAAGAAGAAGGUUCGUGCUGCCAAAGGGCCGGGGUAGUGAAGCAUAAGGCGGCAGCAGCAGCCUGACCAGGAUAAUACUCACUUUGCUGCACCUCUGACAACUUCAAGGACUUUGACAGGCUUGCAGGACAGAGACCCCGAUCCAGCCGUGCCUCCGCCCCCAGGUAGCUAGAGAACGCCUCGGAGCUGAACACCAGUGCAAGUGCGCACUGCAGCCCCGAUUCCUCCUUCGGAUGCCUGAGCCUGCAGAUUUGCCAAGGGCUGACCCCUAAGCUCCGUGCCCGCCAGUGGCUGGGGCCACAGGUCAGACUUCCCUGCGUCUCAUUGACUCAGACCUCGUGCUGAGCUCUCACACCAGGCUCGGCACUCGCCAGCCCAUUGACUCUGAACGCGCACACAUCCUUCUCUCUGGCCUUGUAAAGCUAUCCCUGCUUUAUAGGAACUUGCUCCUAAGCAGAAUUAUAUAACCCCGUGCAGGCACACACCUUUUGGCAAUACAGAGAAUAAACCGCGUUUGAAACCUCUGGCUUUUAGACUGAUCACCCAUUAGAUUUGGGGGUUUCUUACCCUGCCCUGUUCUAGCUUUGGCUUUCGAUAAUCUCCCGCAGUGUUUCAGGAAAAACACUGCACCUGCUAACUAUUCUUCUUUGGAUCAUUAGCUGCAAGGAAUCCCCAGAGGGGAAACAUUCUGAAAUGCCAACACCCUGUAUAAGUAUCCGUUCAGAGGCAGGAGUCAGGUACCUUCCUGUGCAAUGUCAGGCAGACUGGAGGUGGCUUGGAGUGACUGAGGAGUAUGCACCUAUAUUAAAGAAAUAGACAUAUGUCUGUCAAGUGCCCACUCCUCUUUCUCACCUGAAUAGUCCCAUUGACUACUAUAAAAUAAGGGCUUCAAAAUGACAUGGAUGGUAUGACAGGGCAAGACAUAUCAAUCAGGUAAUAUUAAUAUUUCUCCUCCUAAAUGCCCUGUUUUAACAAAAUCUAGAGUAAACACUGUGCCUGUUGCUUAACACAGAAACAGGAACUGGAAUAGUGAUAACGACAUGUUUCCCACUCAAACUCUGACUAUUCUGCUCUUGUUCCUCUGGUCUGUGUUCAUGGUUCAUUUAUUGUUUCCCCUCAUUCUGCACACUCCUAACUUUUUUUUUUCUGUUAAUGCCCUCACAUGUUUAUUAGAUGUUCCCUUAAAUAACAAUCUAAAACAAUUUAAAACAACUGGUUCCAGAUAAAUCAUUCAUUUGUAUGUGUUCGCUGAGGUUUCCUUUGUUUUUAAACCACUUCUGUUCUGGCAACUGUUAUAGCAAUAUUUUUAUUGUAUACUAUUUACCAUUUUGUAAGCAUAUCGAGACAAAACAGGACAUCCCUAAUGCAUGUGGGUAGUCUUGUUAAAGGAAAUGAAUGGAAAUAGUCUUGAGGUAGGCCAGCAGAAUUUAGUUAAUUAAAUAAAUAAUUCACCACUGGGUGCAUGCUUUGGUUUAGCCAGAUGGAAGCCAAUUUACUUUGAUGUACUAAGCUCUGUAUUUUUUUACUACCAAAAUUUAAAAAGUCAAUAGUUUUAUUGAGCUGGAAGAAAGACCUGCUCAUUCAGAAGUUUACUGAACUGUUACAAUUGGCUGCAUUUAUUUUUCUUGAUUUUUAAUAUUUAUUGUUGAAAAUAAGUAUCCAAUACCCACAUUCAUUUAGAACUAGAUUGUCAGUUUGUACACUUUAUAGUGGAAGUGACUCUAUGCUCUCAGUAAGACUCACACAUAAUUUUCCAUAUAUAAUUCUACACUCACUCAUACACAUAAACACAUUUUUCAGUGGUUUAUUACUUUCUCAAGAAAAUCUUUUAUAGAUUAAUUUUUUUCUACACUUGGUCUCUACCCAGAGGUGAUAUUAAAAAAAAAGUAGCCCUAUCCAUUUUGCUAUUUUUGCGGUCGUCAUGUAUAAAAGAUUGUUCUUAUUCCAUGUAUUCCAAGAAAAUUAUUAGUGCAUAUGUAACUCAAUACUUGGUAAUUUUGUGAAGAAAUUUCCUUGUUUUGUAGAUCUCACUGAGUUCUUGAAAUAAGCUGAGUUUGAAGGAAAUUGGCUUAGUAUUUUUGGCGUUGUGAGCUCUGGAAUUAGAUUACUUUUCAUACAUCCACAGGUCAAGCUGUUUAGAACCCUAGAACACUGCAUAUAAACCAGUGCAGUAAACCUUGUUUAGUUUUUGUGCUCUGCCCAGCAUGGCUUGGACACUAAGGUGAUAUGAAACGUUGUGACUGUAACCUUGAUUGCAGUGUAAUCAAUGCAAGUGUUACCAUCAAUUUCAGUGGAUUCAGAAUUUCAUCCCAUAGCUUCCUCAUCUCCUAUCAUAAGGACAGCUAAAGCCUGGGAAAUUAUAAAUAAACCAGAGAUUUGGGAUGGGGUAGAGGAGAAGGUAAGUGGGGCAGUCUGCCUAAAGUCCACAUGGUAUAGUCAAAUGAAGCUCAGAGAUUUUUAAGCCUAUUGCUCGAAUCACUGACUAGCCAUUAUAAUUCCUGGUACACGGGCUUAUAUUUUUAAAGGUUUUAAACCUAUGGAAGUUAAGUGCCCAGGCUCUUUUGAAAAUCAUAUGGCAUGUAGCAUGUCAUAACUAUUAAAUAAUCAGGCCCCACAUAACCACAUGAAGUAAGUAAAUAUAACCAACUCUGUUUUAUUGAUAAGGAAAACUGGAUGUGUCUACUCAUGCAUUUG